GUUUUACUUUUCUAUGCUCUAUAUUCUAUUUGCUCCCUAUCCGGUGAAGUUGGAAGGGGCAUGAGGUACUACCACUAGCCUCCCUCUUGUGCCAUCCCUAAUAUGUCCUACACCGAAUAGUUGGGUCAAAUAGUGCCGAGUACUACCACUAGUCUCCCCAUUGACACCAUCCCUAUGAUGAGCAAUAUAGAAAGGUUAAACCAUUUCCUUUAAAAAUAUUCACUCCAAACUCUUCCUGUUUAAAUAUAAUUAAUUACGGAUUUUAUUCCUUCCAAAAGAAUGCUCACACAAGUCUCACAAAUGUGCCGAAUAUAUUAUGCUUGUUUUGUUUUUCCUUAAGAUUGGAGUAUUUGCUUUUACUUUCCUUGAAUAAUGUUCAUUUUCUUUUCUUUAUCUCUCUCGCUUUUUGUUAGUCUCAAGUAAUUUACAUGAAAGAGCAGAAUAAAGAAAUAAUCUAAUGUAUCAUAUAGAUGUAUAUCAUGCAAACAACAUUUUAAUUAUGCUCAAGAAUUCAU
rnacentral:lncRNA from 1 species